rnacentral:rRNA from 1 species
CUUGACACUGAACAUUGAGCCUUGAUGUGUAGGAUAGGUGGGAGGCUUUGAAGCGUGGACGCCAGUCUGCGUGGAGCCGGCCUUGAAAUACCACCCUUUAAUGUUUGAUGUUCUAACGUGGACCCGUGAUCCGGGUUGCGGACAGUGUCUGGUGGGUAGUUUGACUGGGGCGGUCUCCUCCUAAAGAGUAACGGAGGAGCACGAAGGUUGGCUAAUCCUGGUCGGACAUCAGGAGGUUAGUGCAAUGGCAUAAGCCAGCUUGACUGCGAGCGUGACGGCGCGAGCAGGUGCGAAAGCAGGUCAUAGUGAUCCGGUGGUUCUGAAUGGAAGGGCCAUCGCUCAACGGAUAAAAGGUACUCCGGGGAUAACAGGCUGAUACCGCCCAAGAGUUCAUAUCGACGGCGGUGUUUGGCACCUCGAUGUCGGCUCAUCACAUCCUGGGGCUGAAGUAGGUCCCAAGGGUAUGGCUGUUCGCCAUUUAAAGUGGUACGCGAGCUGGGUUUAGAACGUCGUGAGACAGUUCGGUCCCUAUCUGCCGUGGGCGCUGGAGAACUGAGGGGGGCUGCUCCUAGUACGAGAGGACCGGAGUGGACGCAUCACUGGUGUUCGGGUUGUCAUGCCAAUGGCACUGCCCGGUAGCUAAAUGCGGAAGAGAUAAGUGCUGAAAGCAUCUAAGCACGAAACUUGCCCCGA